UGAGCGCUGCCUACCUCGUACUCCUCCAGUUCCUCCACUAGGAUCUGAAAUGAAACAGUACUUUUCUUUACCUCUCUUCUAAAAAAAAAAGUAAUUGGAAUCGCGAUACGUCCGACUGUUUUCCGCUUACCUUGGCAGAUCUUUUACACGGUCCCGACUGGAGAAAUCUAGCAAUAAGGCUUUCACGACAUCGCCUUUUGCUUUGUUAGCGCCCUCCCUCGACGGGCUGCGAACUUGCUGUUAACUCGUCAGCCGCUGGGUGUCGGUGAGGUCAAGGAAUGGACGAUUCAUUAGGAGAAACACCAUAUGAAGAUGGAGUAAGAAGAUGGAUGGAUGUAAGAUCAUGAGGAUAUUUUAAGCCAUUCACAUGUUGGCAGAACAGAAUUGAUGAGUGCGGAUUCCAGUCAUCCAUCAUAAAAUAACUUUUAUAAAAACCCAGGAUACCAGGACCAGCACAUCUUUCAAAAUGAGGAGAAGAACUAUAGGAGCAAGGAUGCAGACCAUUGUGCUUGUCUUACUUGACAUAUAUUAUAUAAAACGAAAUGGUGACAAACUUUGACUACAUUGUGUGUAUUGUUACCAGUUAUGUAUCUUUUGCUCUAGGAUUACAUCUGUAAAUUCCUUGUAUCAGAAAUUGUGUCAUUAUUAGCAUUGCCUUGUAUUUUAAGUGCUAACUGUAAUGCAUGGAAAUAGUUGGAUUAUUUGGUUCCAAAUAAUUGCAUCUCUUCAGUUAUGUAAGUAAUUGUAAGUAAUGUGUAAAUAGUUUAGUGUUCGCUUUGUAACUCCUCAAAAUGGUGAAGGAAAAUUCAAAUAUGUGCUGAAUAUUCUUGUGGUCACUCAAGCUAUUACGAUUCAGAGGAUCAUCGGGGUUCGGGAUGGUCCCUGUGUUGCAAGGACGUGUGCUUUUGUAUUUCAGGUACAACUAUGUACCUAAGGCCCUUCAAUAAAUAGUAUAAUUAUAAAUCGGUACAGACUCUAAAGCUACUGUCCUAAAACAAUUCGUGUUGUAUUUUCUGUUAUUGUACUUUUUUCUUUUUGGUUCACUGAAACAAUACCAAUUUCUAAAUGGUGCAGAAUAAAACUAUAACCUAUACCAACCAGCUUUAACAUUAAAAGCACCUGCCUAAUAUUGUGUAGGACCCCCUUGUGCUGCCAAAACAGCUCUGACCUGUCAAAUCAUGGACUCCAUAAGACCUCUGAAGGCUCUGAUUGGACUUGGUCAUCCAGCAUAUUCCACAGAUGCUCGACUGGAUUGAGAUCUGGGACAUAUUGAGGUCUAGUCAACACCUUAAGCUCUUUCUCAUGUUCUUUAAACCAUUCCUUUAGUGGUGUGGCAGGGUCCAUUAUCCUGCUGGAAGAGACCACUGCUAUUGGGGAAUACUGUUGUCAUGAUGGGAUGUACUUACCUACUUAAACAUUGUUGCAGAUUAAUAUGUGUCAAAGUAGCAUCCACAUGAAUGCCAGGACCCGAGAUUUCCCAGCAAAACAUUGUCUAGGGCAUCACACUGACUCUGCAUCCUGGUGCCAUCUCUGCCCCAGGUAAAGGACCCACAUGCCCCUAGCCAUUCACUAGCAACAGAAAAUGUGACUCAGCAGACCAGGCCACCUUUUUCCAUUGCUCCAUGGUAUAAUUCUGACACUCACAUGCCCAUUGUAGGUGCUUUUGGUGGUGGACAGGGGUCAGCAUGG